AGUGAACGCUGGCGGUAGGCCUAACACAUGCAAGUCGAACGGCAGCACAGGAGAGCUUGCUCUCUGGGUGGCGAGUGGCGGACGGGUGAGGAAUACAUCGGAAUCUACUCUGUCGUGGGGGAUAACGUAGGGAAACUUACGCUAAUACCGCAUACGACCUACGGGUGAAAGCAGGGGAUCUUCGGACCUUGCGCGAUUGAAUGAGCCGAUGUCGGAUUAGCUAGUUGGCGGGGUAAAGGCCCACCAAGGCGACGAUCCGUAGCUGGUCUGAGAGGAUGAUCAGCCACACUGGAACUGAGACACGGUCCAGACUCCUACGGGAGGCGGCAGUGGGGAAUAUUGGACAAUGGGCGCAAGCCUGAUCCAGCCAUACCCCGUGGGUGAAGAAGGCCUUCGGGUUGUAAAGCCCUUUUGUUGGGAAAGAAAUCCAGCUGGCUAAUACCCGGUUGGGAUGACGGUACCCAAAGAAUAAGCACCGGCUAACUUCGUGCCAGCCGCCGCCGUAA
rnacentral:rRNA from 1 species